AAACUGCAGACAUGUUUUGAUUGUGUUCUUUCUUGGAGUCUGACUUGCAUCUUUUCUGUUUCAAGGAUGGUGCCGUUGACAUUGAAGGGCUCAAAUGUGAAAUCCUUUGCAAGGCUCUCCAGAGAGACGAGUAAGAUUUUUCAAAACAUAUUUGUCCUUUUAUGCCCUCGUGCACAAUAGUCUUCAGUUUUGUUCCCAUUUUCAGUGGGAAUAGCAGUGGGAAUUAAAGAUGAAGACAAUGCAGAAAUGACUUUUUUCUAGUCAGGAGAGAUUUAAAUGUUAUAAGACUUAAGGGCAAACAUGGUCAAAUUUAAGAGCUUGCAGAUUACACUGAUCUUUGCCUUUGGUAACUAAAAAAACAAUAUUGUAGUUUACUUCAGGCUGAGUGAGGGCAUAGCUGCUUCUUGUUCUUCUUAAAAGCACACAUGUGUGACUAUCUUAUUAUUUAGCCAGGCAGGCCGCCUCCUUGCAUCUGUUAGCUUUCUUUCCAGGCGAAAGAUUGACUCAGGGUAUUUUGGAUGCCACAAGUUCAGUCUCGAAUUCCGAGUUAGGGAGAGAGGUGUGGGGACAGGUCAGGGACAAAACCAGACUCGCAACAUCCUGACUGUAGCCCUGUGCCCUCCAGCUGGUCCUCUGUGGAUGGGAGCGACGACCCAGUCGAAGCAGCAAAGGACAGCAUCUUUGUCAAGAUCUUGCAGAAGCUCAUUAAAGAGGGGGUUUGUCUGCAGACUUACUUGCCUGACGUCGAUGCCCUGCUUCAGUCAGAAGAGCUGGAGAGACUGCGGUCCAAGACCUACUUUGAGUUUGCUCUGCGGGCCAACUAUGAACACUAUCUGCAAGCCCAGACAUGAGCUGACCGAGCGCCUCUCCCAACUGUGACUCCACUCAGCUCGUGGCCUCCCGGGCCCUUCGUUUUUAGUCUUCUAAAAACUAAUUUCCCAUUUUGUAAUAAACUUUGCCGAAUUUCUGUUCUCUCCCCUGUUCUUCGUCGUCAUCCGAAAGUCCUAGCACAAAGCUUAAUGGAGUUGAAGCAAGGGCAGAGUUUGUUUAUAUGUUUAUUAUUAAAAGAUUUUCAAUUUUCUGUAUAAAGCAACUGUUUAUAGUUUACAGUUACAAUGAAUAGUAAUGGAGACUUACUAAAAUAUUGUUACACAUGUCUGUGUAGUAUCUGCUGUUGUUGAAAGAUUGAGUGCAAAGUGCAAAAUCUUUUAUUACCUUAAUGAGCCUGAAAAAUGGUCAGCUACCCUCUUGAUAUAAUGAGAUCGUUUAUAACUGUCAUUAAUUUCCACUGUGCUUAGUUUCUUAUGCCUUAAUGGCAUAAUGAAAUAUUUAGAGAAAAGGCUUCUGUUUCUUAAAAGUCCAUGCCUUGUAAAAAAUGGCUUUGCAACUAUCAGAAUGAGCAUACACCCCUUCUACACAGGAGUGAAUGCUGCUGGAAUAUAGUGCUGUAGGAAAAACCUGACUGUACAGGCACCGAUUUCCAUUGAUCCUGAAGAGCUUCAUGGAUCAAUAAGCACCUCGGGAAGCUGCUUGGAAGAAAUCAUGCAGAGCUCUGUCUAACCUCUGAGCUGUUAGGCAAGGCAAGCCAAGCCACCAGCUUCAUGUGGCAGGAGCUGAGCCGAAAGCAGCAAUGCUCCAAACAGAUGUCGCCGUGUCUUCAAGUUGCUAAAAUAGGAAAGGAGAGUUAAAUCAGGGACAUCUGCAAUAAAUUAAAUGCUGAAUGUGACAGAUUUCCCCGUCGCUCAAUAUGGAAGUUCUGUGCAGAAUUGUAAUGUUGUAUAGCUUCAUGGUCGUUGGCAAAUAAUUUUACUUCUGCUUCCUUAAAGGCUCUUAAUCAUUCCAAGUAGCGUUUUCCAUGUAAUCACUUGACAAAAAGUGUGUAAUGCAAGGAGUCCAAAGUGUUUCUUUUUCAAAUAAAAAUACUUUUAUGUAACCUAAUGCUUAAACUAAUCUAAAUUUAAAAGUAUUACAGUGAUGCAUGUAUGGUGCUUUUCAGACUUCUCUGCCUCCCUUGGAACACAGGCUCUUUCCAGACUCACUUUCAGGGGUUGUCAGAUUUAGAAAUCUGUCCCUCAGAUAGUUAGGUUGAAAAACAGCAAUAAAAUAUUUUGUGACUCAUUGAUAUGCAGAAGUGUGUAAAAUGAACUUUGGGGGCAGAUCGAGGCCGGGAGCUGUGUCCAGUCUCUGUCCAGCUUUGCUGUCCUGCACUUUGCUUCCCGGAUACAUGGUCAGCAGAGGAUCAAUCCUCUACUGGAA
ensembl:lincRNA